UCUCAGUCCCCUGGUAAAUGAAAUUUCAUAGGAGUUCUUCAUCUUGCUUGAUUAGAAAUUAAAGAUGAUAGGGAUGCUCGAUGAUUAUUGAAUUUUGAUUUGCUUGGGCACACAGAUUCAGGCUGUGCAUUUUAAUUGAAAAAGUGCACUGGAAGUUCUGAAUGUUGUGUAAAGUGCACAAGACCUUCUGCUGGAUAUUGCUUAUGUGGCAACUUGAGAGGGUGCCAUGUAGGAGAAAUCAGAGAUGUUUUGAUUUGAAGGAUUUGAUUGAAAUUUUUCAAAAAGGUUUAGACUUGAUUGCAUCAAUUGAAAUAUAAAGGAUUUGAGUGCAUUUCACAUAUGAGGCUUAGGACUCUUGGUGCAAUUUUUUCCAAUUUUCAACAUAGCCAAACCUCUCUCUAGAAAUAAAAUAUAAAAGCUUUAGCUAUAACUAUAGAUUGAUGUAGCAUGCUUCAGUUGUGAUGGCACCAGAUGAAGAUGGAACUGUAAAUUGUUUAGAAUCAAAGGCUUGGAAGUAAUAGAAAAUUCUAAUGACAGAUUAGUUGAGUUAGAUGAGAGUUUAUCUCCUGUAAUUGCUAUCUUUGGCUGAUUUAAAGGUGUUGGAUGCUCUAAGAAGUCAUUACAGGAAAAAUAAAGUUUUCUGCAUUAUUCCAUGUGAUUUAUAGCUAGUUUAGUUAAGUUAGAUGUGAUUUAUAACUAGAAUUUCUUUAGUUAAGUUAGAUGAGAGUUUAGGAUCUGAAUGCAUUCCAUAGACGAAGCUUAUGACUUUUGGUGCAAUUUUCCCGAUGUUUGACACAGCUUACCUCUCUCUAGAAAUAAAGGAAUUCUAAUAAGCUUUUGCUAUAACUAUGAUGCAUGCUUCAAUUGUGAUCGCACCAGAUGAAGUUGGAACUGAAAAUUGCUUAGAAUCAGAAGCUAGAAAGUAAUAGGAAAUGCUAAUGACAGAUUAGUUAAGGUAGAUGAGAGUUUAUCUUCUGAUGGUUUGAAGGUGUUUGAUGCUCUAGGAAGUCAUCACAGAAAAAAUUCUGCAUCAGUACUGAUAGAUUUGAGGCUUCCAUGUGAUUUAAAGCUAGAUUAGUUAAGUAAGAUGAGAGUUUAUCUCAUGUAAUUGCUAUCUUCUGCUGGUUUGGAGGUGUUUGAUACUAUAGGAAGUCAUUACAAAAAGAAAUUUUCUGCAUCAGGCUUCAAUGUGAUUUAUAACUGUACUUUGACAUGUCAGGCAUUAGAGGUGAUCAUCCUGUUCCUGAAUGUGACUAGUAGGGAAACAUUUGUAAUAUCACUUAGAUUUAGCGCCAUAACUAUAACAUAAUUUCAAUCUAAUAAAUGGACAGCUAUGGAACUGUACUUUAUAAUGUUUUCCUGGCAUCUCAUCCUCCGAUAUUCUAUUUUGCCAUAUUGAAAGAUAUUAAAGUCAGUUUACGGAAGAACGAUGUUUUUUUUUUAUUCAGAUUGACAGCCGUUGCUAUUGAAAAACUUAGGUACCUCUAAGGUACCUUCUUGUUAAACUGACUGAUCUUCAUAUCAAAUUAAAAUGUCAUAAGCCAAGUAGGACUUGGUGCAACUCACUGUCUAUUACCAGAUCAUCUAUUGCCAUUCUGCCUUGCGUUAGAAUAUUGAAUGCGACGGGGCCUUCACGGGCUUCGUGCAAUUCCAAGAUUCUUUCUUAGCUGGGAUAAAAGAUUCUUUAAAGUAGAUUAAGCUGAAACUUAAGUUGCUGAGUUAGCUGUAAUGAUGUGUCCACUAUAAGGGUUGUAAUUCAUCUGUACUGGAUUUUCAGUUAUCAAAUUUCCAUAUAGUUUCGUACAAUUAGCUCCUUGAAUGAUUUAACAUUUCAUUGAGACAACUUUUUCCUUUAAAGUAUAGCCUGUGGGGCAGCUUGUGGAUGGGAUAAGAUUAUCAGAUGACACAGGAAAUCCAGUGGAGGCUUGUUUCUUAUUUAUUAAGCUAUGACCUUAAGACCAACCAGAAACUUUAAAUCAAAAUAUGUGCAGGACCCAUAUUAUAGAGUUAGUUUUGGACCGGUAGUUGUUAUAUCUUUUCUUUUUUCCCUCUAGAGAAGUUUUGAGUCAUUUUCACUCCUGCAGUUACUUUUAUGUGGAAACUACACCGUCUUAUGGGAGAUGAUUGAGUUUUAUAAUGGAAGAAUAACUUUCAUGGUCGGGACCUCUUUCUGUAAACAGUCUCAUCUACUAAAUGUGUGGCAGUUAGACAGUAUUCAGUGGAUUCACUAAUUAUGUCAUUGAAAUGUCAAGAUUCAUGAUGGAUGGUUUGUGAAGAAAUGCGAUUGCCUUUUUUCCUGUUCUUAAUUGGUAUUACAUAUACUGAACAUUAAUAGUUCUGAAAUUUUACUCAUGGAGGUGAUGCUGCCACGCAAUCAUAGUAACUGCAGCAUUCAGUGCAUGGAGUACUAAUAAUAAUAUGAAACAUGGAUGUUAUAUGGAAAGGCUGAAAGCAUUACAUGACAUCCUUACCCUGAAUGGAUGCUGAAGUGGAUGAUUUGCUCAUGUCAAGGGACAUGAACGGAUUGAGACAUCCAGGAUGCCAAUAGAACAGUGGUACAUGAGAACACGCGGAGAGAAAAAUUCUUGUCAUAGUUCAAUUACCAUUGGGGGACAAAGCAAAGUGGAGAAUCCAUUUUCCCCUUAAAGCUUGAAUGACCUCUAGGUGAAGAACGAAGCAUUCAUGAAUGAGUGACACUAAAGUGUUAUGCUUUUUCUUAGGAUGGAUAAAGUGGAGGGAGAAUUUCAAAAGAAACUCCAAUCAACUAGUACUAUUAUUGCUACUAGGUUUUGCUUGGCUCAUGUGAUUGCUUCAUGGUAUCUACCAUUCCUAACUACAUUUUCCCCCAGAGCACGUGGGAAAUGAAGACAAAAUGCAAAUUAUGAGGAGGUGAUUUGAAUUGCGGAUCGAGUUAAUCAUAACCCAUAUGGCACCAAAACUUUAAUUAUGGAUGGCGAUGGAUCAUGAUGGCAUGGGUGAAUUCUUUUCUGGUCUAGUUUUUAUAAGUAAUAUCGAUGUCAAUAAUCAGUAAACAAAGGAAAUGAGAAUCUCUACUCUUCAAGAAAGAAUAUUGCUGGAAAGUCUAUGUCAUAGUGUUUGUGUGUCUGUAUAUAUAUAUAUAUAU